rnacentral:rRNA from 1 species
GUGGGGAAUAUUGGACAAUGGGCGCAAGCCUGAUCCAGCCAUGCCGCGUGAGUGAUGAAGGCCCUAGGGCUGUAAAGCUCUUUCACCGGUGAAGAUAAUGACGGUAACCGGAGAAGAAGCCCCGGCUAACUUCGUGCCAGCAGCCGCGGUAAUACGAAGGGGGCUAGCGUUGUUCGGAAUUACUGGGCGUAAAGCGCACGUAGGCGGACAUUUAAGUCAGGGGUGAAAUCCCGGGGCUCAACCACGGAACUGCCUUUGAUACUGGGUGUCUGGAGUAAGGAAGAGGUAAGUGGAAUUCCGAGUGUAGAGGGGAAAUUCGUAGAUAAUCGGAGAGACAGCAGUGGCGGAGGCGGCUGACUGGUCCAUUACUGACGCUGAGGUGCGAAAGCGUGGGGGGCAGACAGGAUUAGAAGCCCCAGUAGUCC